UCUAGACCCGUAGUUAAGUCAACCCUAAUUUUGUUCCAGCCGCAUUCACCCUCUCUUCCAACCACACCAUCUCUUCCAGCCGCAUUCACCCUCUCUUAUCUGUGUCGAACAUCGCCAUCCUCCUCCGCUCCAAUCCCCACUGCUCUUCAUCCAGAUAUCCGCUCUUUCACCUCUGCAAAACCCUCUUCGAAAUUGUUACUAUGUUUUCUGUGUAUAGGGCUUUGUAUUGGUACGCAUCAGAUAUGGGAGCAGCACAAGCGAUGAAGAGAAUUCCACGGAUCAAGUUUGAACAGCGUCAUUUGAAGCCUUCUGGUUAAAUAAUGGAACCUACGGAUAUCACCUUUCUGAACCACCUUGAUGUUUCACACGACAACUACACACUCAAAGUUCGCAUUAUCAAACUAUGGAGGCAACCUUCGUUUAAGGUCCCUGGGGAAACAUAUGCAAUCGAGAUGAUGCUUAUGGAUGAGGAGGGCAAUAAGAUCCAAGCAACUGUAAUGAACAAGUACUUGGUUAAGUUUAAAAAGCUGCUGGAAGAGAAUGUUUGUCUACUGAUCAAGAAACCCUCCUUAGGUGACAAUACGUCAUCAUACAAGUGAUUCAAUAUCUGGUACCGGUGAGAAUGAAACGCCUUUAUCAGUUUCGGACAUAAGCACCGGAAGGAGUUUAUUGCAAAAUGAAAACACAAAAAAGACAAUCAUCUAUGGCGAAUUAAAGCGUAACUUGGUUGAGGUGUACGACCUUGACGAAUCCCCCGGUCGAUCAGCAACUAAACCCCGUCAAGAUCCUACUGAAGGUCUGAAAAGAGAUUUCGAGCCAACUCUCUUGGUUCCAAAGAUCGAAAAAUAAUUAUGUUUUCCAAUUCUGAAGUUUUAAAUUUGGUUGUUUUUUAAGUUAUCAUCGUAUUUGCGUUUUCAAAGUUUUCGGAUUUUAGUUGUUAAUGUUGUUGACUGUUUGGAUUCAAGUUUGUUUUUAAUGAAUGGUUAUUUUGUCCACCCCGUGAAAUUCACGGGUAUUAGCACUAGUAUAUUAAUAAACGGAUGGAAUGAACAGUAUAUUUCAGGGGGGGUAUUUAAGGGGUUCUUUCAUCGCUCCCCAUCUGGCGGCAGGAGAUAGACAGACAGUGCGCGACGAAGGGAGAGAGAGAGAGCCGAAGGCAGAGUGAGAUAGAGAGAGGCGCGGCGGUGAUGGACGAACCGGCUAUGGUCUCCGGCCGCCGGUAAUGUUGUCCAUCGUCGCUGAAUGUGAACUUGACGGCCGGGGGUUCUAGGGUUCCGGCGUCGGUACCGGUCACUCUAAUCGGUGGAUUCUGGAGACGAAAUGGGAGACUUGAAGGUGAUCUUGAACAACCACAACCUCAGAGACUUGAAUCGUGUUUCAGCGAUAAUUGUAAGCACUUUUGGUCUGCAUGUCUCCAUUUAUUCGGUAGAUCACACUUUCCUCUUUGCGGUGAGAUUACGCGAGGUGAUAUCGAACAGGCGGCGGAAGAUACCACCGGCGGUGGAACAAGCCACCGACAGAAGGAUUAUGUUUCACACUUUCACCUAGCAAGGAGACCGUGUUUAAUGCUAGCAGCGACGAUGAAAGUUUUCGGCUACAAAUGCUUAACCCUCUUAGGACGAGAUCCAAAGUGACGAAUGCUAAUCAGCAGCGUGUCGGGUUGGAAAGCUAUGGCGGUGGGGUUUCGGUCGGAGAAUAUAUGUAGCAAAGACGAAAAACGGGUUGGAUCCGGGUAUGUAAGUUUCACAAAAGGUGUGUGUAGGCUGUAAGACCGUACGAAGGGGGCUUGAAAAUAGGGCGUUAUGCGACACGUCGACGACACGUAAGCACACGUCAGGGACAGGGCGUGGUGCAAAAACGGGAGGUGUGGGACAGGGCGUGGACGGCGUUAUUCAACACGUGAGACACUUUUAAACUUCAAAAUUCUAUAAAAUCUAUUGAAUUUAAAUAAAAACAUUAAUAUUAAUUGCAUCCAAUCACACGCGACCAUAUUGUCUCCAACCCUCCGCGCCGGUGGAAUUCUUGCCGCCCCUUCAACAACGCCGUCUACAAUGCCGCACCCGGUGUGGUUUGUGCGGCGUGGAAAGGCAACAACGCCGCUCCACCAUGCCCACACCAUGUGGUCUAAGGAUGAGAAGUUGUAAGUUUCACAAAAGCUGUAGCCUGGAUGUGUGCUAUGUUCUCAAUGAAGCAUUGAAGCCUGAUACAAGGGUUGUUAUUCGCGUAUUUGGGCGGUGAAGCCACUUCUAUUUUCACAGUUACCCUGUGUCCUCCACAGACCUGCAUAACACAUCCAAUUCCCAACCGCACGGCCAUGCCUUUUUAGAUUACAAUCCAGCCGCCUCCUACAAAAGCAAUAGCAACUGGCUCAUCUCCACGCCACACAACUCCACAGCGACACGAUGGGGCAUCGCAGGUUAAUGGUAAUAAGUCUCCAAUGAUCGUAAGUUUACGGAUGUCACAGGAGCCGUAUGAGGUGGAAGCUCGGCGUAUUGUUUUGAAGCCGAGCUACACGAGGGUCUACGGAAUAAUCACAUGUAGGAAAAGGUAGUUUUUUAAUAUGAUUACAAAGAUGCAAUGAUUAUUCUACAAACCUGAAUCCAAUGAUGGGUCAAAACUGAUUCGGGUUAUGAGUUUAAUGUAAUGAUUCAUUUAGCGCGAUUGCGUUAUGAGUUUUAACGUAAAUCGUACAUGUUAUCACACCAAGAACUAUUCGGAUUAGCGCGGCGCAACGCGCGCAGUGUAUAAAACUAGUUAGAUUAAUAAAGAUGUAUGAAUUGGUUCUCUUUUC